UACGUAGGGGGCAAGCGUUGUCCGGAAUCAUUGGGCGUAAAGAGCGCGUAGGCGGCCCUGUAAGUCCGCUGUGAAAGUCAAGGGCUCAACCCUUGGAUGCCGGUGGAUACUGCAGGGCUAGAGUCCGGAAGAGGCGAGUGGAAUUCCUGGUGUAGCGGUGAAAUGCGCAGAUAUCAGGUGGAACACCGGUGGCGAAGGCGGUGCUCUGGGCCAGUACUGACGCUGAGGAGCGAAAGCGUGGGUAGCAAACAGG
rnacentral:rRNA from 1 species